rnacentral:snRNA from 1 species
AUCGCUUCUCGGCUCUCUGAGCUAAGAUCAUGUGUAGUAUCUGUUCUUUGCAGUGUAAUUUCUGCAACGGUCCCUAAUUUGGGGCCCAUGAAAUUACCUGUAUUUUUCCAACCAGGGUGGGUGCUGUGAGCUUGCUCAACCCCGUCCACGGGUCGGCCUCGUAUUGCAUUACCUCGAGGAUUGGCCCACUAGUG